UGAGGAAUGUUGCUCAAUGGCCGCAAGGCUGAAGCAGCAACGCCGCGUGAGGGAUGAAGGAUCUAUGGUCUGUAAACCUCUGUAGAGAAGGAAAAAUAACCCAUUAUAUGGGCUUGAUAGUACUUCUAGAGUAAGCCCCGGCUAACUACGUGCCAGCAGCCGCGGUAAUACGUAGGGGGCGAGCGUUGUCCGGAAUCACUGGGUGUAAAGGGUGCUCAGGCGGGUCGAUAAGUCAGAGGUGAAAUUUCACAGCUUAACUUCGAAUGUGCUUUUGAUACUGUCGGUCUAGAGUUCAGAAGAGGGCAAUGGAAUUCUUGGUGUAGCGGUAAAAUGCAUAGAUAUCAAGAAGAACACCAGUUGCGAAGGCGGUUGCCUGGUCUGUAACUGACGCUCAAGCACGAAAGCGUGGGGAUCAAACA
rnacentral:rRNA from 1 species